rnacentral:misc_RNA from 1 species
CAAUUCUACUUUUUUCAGCUUCAAUGAUAGAAUUUACAAACAGAUUUUUGGAACACCGAUGGGCUCACCUCUCUCUCCCAUUUGUGCGGAUCUCGUUCUCCAAGAGCUGGAAGAAAAGGCUAUUUCACAACUUCCUUUUCACCUUCCUUUUUACUUCAGAUAUGUGGAUGAUAUUGCCUUGGUUGCUCCUGCUUGUUUUUUGAAUCUCAUAAAGUCUGUUUUUAAUUCUUUUCAUGAUAGGUUGAAAUUCACCAUGGAGAUUGCAAAUGAUAAUCGUCUCAAUUUUCUAGACGUGACGAUCAUUAUUAAUAACAAUCAUAUUGAGUUCGACUGGUAUAUGAAGCCCACCUUUUCUGGUAGGUUUCUCAAUUUCUUUUCUCAACAUCCGUUGGCGCAUAAAAAGGGGGUAAUUAUUGGACUCACUGAUAAAAUUUUUAAACUGUCACAUCCCAGAUAUCAUGAGAAGAAUUUUAACAUCAUCUCUGAGAUCCUUUCCAAUAAUGGUUAUCUGGGGAAAUUUAUUUUUAAUACCAUAACAUGUAGAAUCAAGUUUCUGAUUCAUAAUCACUAUGCUCCUCAUGUCACUUCCUCCAUCCUUCCCUCUCCUUCUUCAACUCAAUCAUUUUUUGUUAUUCCUUACAUUAAAGGAAUUUCCGAACAUUUUAAAGAUAUUGUUGGCAAUCUUAAUAAAUCCUUGGCCCACGUGGUCUUGAACAAAUUGAACUGCUUCAUUAAAACGUAUAAAGAUCCUCUGCCAAUGGAUUGUCAAUCAAAUGUUGUAUAUAAAAUUUCUUGUACGGAUUGCUCGGCAUCGUAUGUGGGGCAGACGAGCAGAAAGAUUUCUACUCGUGUCCGCGAGCAUCGAUCCAAUAUCAAUCGACCUUUCGAAAAUCUAUCUGUCUUAUCUCAGCAUAGACUUAUGGGACAUGAUUUCGCAUGGAAUGAUGUUAAAAUUUUGGAUCAAGAUAUUUCAUUUGUCAGAAGAACUAUCUCUGAAAUGAUCCAUAUUAUACGACAGAACAACGGUCUUAACGUUCAGAAUGAUACGGAAAAAUUUGAUAAAGUUUAUCUUCCCAUCAUAAAAUCCUUGCAUUUUUAAUACAAUUUAUUUCCAAUUUAUUUUUCUCCAUCAUCCGUUCCUGAAAUUCCCUCCUUUUCCCCUCCACCCCUUCCCUUUCCCUUUCCAUCGAAUCGGCAUGCUUGGCUCUUCAUUAUUACGCGUCUCAGUAUCUUUCGUCACCUCGUUUAGUAUACACGACUUUUGCAUCUUUUCAGUAGUUUUGUUCUGCUCUUCUAUCAUUGCGAUUACUCCGAUAUUUCGCAGUUACUUAUUGCAAUUAAUUUGGAUUUGGAACAAAAAAUUUUUAAUGCAUUAUAAGGAACUUUGCAACGAUAUACGAAUUGUGGAACGUAUGCGGUAUCUCUGUCCUCUACGCGCAUACCAUCUUUUUUCUUUCCACGCUUUUUCUACACAGCCACGAUCUAUGUGUUUCGCAUUGAUGUUUCAGAUGGAGCAAAGUUAAACAUGACAUUUCGAAAUCGAUAAGAUGAAAGCAAAGUUAAACAUGACAUUUCGAAAUCGAUAAGAUGAAAACGCUUGCAAAAGGUUAAUUAAAGAAUAAAUCAAAAUUAUACAGAGAUGCUAUAUCUGUGGAAAAAUAAUAAUAGCAAUAAAUACAAAUGAAUUGGAAGAAGAAAUAAAAUUAAGAUAGGUUCAAGUCAGAAAACGCAAUUGAUUUAAACGAUUUCAAUUAUAGCAUAUAAUAUGUUGUAUUCUUAUGUAUAUAAAAAUAUUUUGAGGUUACGUGAGAAAUAACCAAAAAUAAUGUUUAAAUAAUUGGUCUAUAUCAUAGACAUAGUAAGUAUAGACCGAGCAUCCAUUGUAUAAGCGUUAAGCAUACGAAAAGAAAGACAAAAGAUGUAAGAUGAGUUUCUUUCUCUUUUCAAUGCCGGAGAAGUGGGGAGCACUUCUCCACAUCUUCUCCUGCCGAUUCGUCAUGGAGGGGCGAGGAGAUGAGGAGAAGUGCUCUCCACUUCUUCGGCAUUAAAAAGAGAAAGAAACUCAUCUUACAUCUUUUGUCUUUCUUUCUUUAUGCUUAACGCUUAUACAAUGGAUGUAUGCUCGGUCUAUACUUACUAUUAUAUGUCUAUGGUCUAAAUAAAGAAAUUGAUUAAAAUAGAAA